UGAAUACGAGACGCUAAGGCGUCGAAGUAGUGUAUAUCAGACUUCCAAGAAAAGCUUGCACUGUCAUAGAUAAAAAAUGCCUGUACCAUAACCGACACAGGUGGGUAGGUAGAGUAUACUAAGGGGCGCGAGAUAACUCUCUCUAAGGAACUCGGCAAAAUAACUCCGUAACUUCGGGAGAAGGAGUGCCUUAUUUAUAAGGUUGCAAUAACAAGAUCCAAGCAACUGUUUAUCAAAAACACAGGUCUCCGCUAAGUCGUAAGACGAUGUAUGGGGGCUGACGCCUGCCCAGUGCCAGAAGGUUAAAGAAGUUGGUUAGCAAUUGCGAAGCUGAUAACUGAAGCCCUGGUGAACGGCGGCCGUAACAAUAACGGUCCUAAGAUAGCGAAAUUCCUUGUCGGGUAAGUUCCGACCCGCACGAAAGGCGUAAUGAUUUGGAUACUGUCUCGGAGAGGGGCUCGGUGAAAUAGACUUGUCUGUGAAGAUGCGGACUACCUGCACCAGGACAGAAAGACCCUAUGAAGCUUUACUGUAACUUGAAAUUGAAAUUGGACUUUAUUCGCGCAGCAUAGGUGGGAGGCGUUGAUUAUAAUCUUGCGGGAUUAUUGGAGCCAUCAGUGAGAUACCACUCUUGUAAUGUUAGAUUUCUAACUUUGAAUCAUUAUCUGGUCAAAGAACAGUUUCAGGCGGGCAGUUUGACUGGGGCGGUCGCCUCCUAAAUGGUAACGGAGGCGUACAAAGGUUUCCUCUGAACGGUUAGAAAUCGUAUCUAGAGUGUAAAGGCAUAAGGAAGCUUGACUGUGAGACCUACAAGUCGAGCAGGGACGAAAGUCGGUCUUAGUGAUCUGACGGUACUGAGUGGAAAGGCCGUCACUCAACGGAUAAAAGUUACUCUAGGAUAACAGGCUGAUCUCCCCCAAGAGUUCACAUCGACGGGGAGGUUUGGCACCUCGAUGUCGGCUCAUCGCAUCCUGGGGCGGUAGUACGUCCCAAGGGUUGGGCUGUUCGCCCAUGAAAGCGGUACGCGAGCUGGGUUCAGAACGUCGUGAGACAGUUCGGUCCAUAUCCGGUGUAGGCGUUAGAAUAUUGAGAGGAGCCUUCUUUAGUACGAGAGGACCGAGAAGGACAUACCUCUGGUGUACCAGUUAUCGUGCCAACGGUAAACGCUGGGUAGCUAUGUAUGGAGUGGAUAACCGCUGAAAGCAUCUAAGUGGGAAGCCCACCUCAAGAUAAGUAUUCC
rnacentral:rRNA from 1 species